AAAAUAGAGUAACGCCGUGACUCGAUCUCGGUCCUCUAAAAUAGCAAACAGAAAGCUUAUCCACUGGACCGCAGUUCGGCCAUAAAUUUGACGUUUUUACGAUAUUUGAACGUAUAAUCAUGUUCGAAGCUUCAAAUGCUUCAAUGAAGCUUCGUGACGUCACUCUCAACCUUCAUAUAUAAAGUCUCGACGAACUCGUUUUCGGCCCAUUCUUCACUCACUAGCUGCAGCUGACAGGGAGAUCAUGGAAUGACUGCAGAUUCAACUACAGUACAAAACCCUCUGUUAUUGGUGUGGUGCAGUAUGUGGUCAGUGUGGUGCAGUAUGAGGACACAAGUGAAGUGUGGAGCAGUAUGUGGGGACAACAGACCACGAGUGAAGCUUCUCACAAUACACAACGGUGUUCCUUCAGGUAACAGCUGAUGUACGUGAAGGCCAAUGGAGAAGUGACAGAACCUCGAGCAAGAUUUAACUACCAGCAUGUUACUUCAGCCUCAUCAGUUAAGUUACUUGUACAGUAUAUCUUAGCUAGUAUCUUUAUCCAAUAAACCACUCGACACUGCUCCUACACUGGGCAGUGGAGGGUGUGUGGGGGGUGCCUUGCUGACUGUUUGAGGCCUAAUAGGUCUGUGUGUAGACCUAGUGAUCAGUGUGUGGGGCCUGGCGGACACUCUUGGAGGACUGUGUUGGAGGGCUAUGGAGGACGAUCUGUAGACAGACUGAUAUUAGAGUAAAAUUAAUAUUAGUUGUAGUGACAGUAGAAAUAUACAGAACUGUAUGCCUAUUGAUUAUUAGUGAAAAUUAGUAGCAGUAGUAAACAUAGUAAGUUAAACAAGUUGUUGUGGGUGGGUUUCAACUAACUUUACUAACCAUAUUAACCUAAGAUAAACUAUUCCAAGACAUAAUUCAGUAUUUUUUUGUCACUUACGUUAACUGAUCAUGAAUUCAUAAGUUAAUUUUGAAAGAAGUUAAAUUUGACUUUUGUAAAUAAUUAAUUUUUGAAAAAUUAUGUACAUUUGACGACAGUUUAACUACAUGUUGUUUAGUGGUAGAUGGAUAUUGUAUGUUUAACAUUCAUUCUACAUAAAUGCCAACUUUAAACAU